AAUAUUGCGCAAUGGGCGAAAGCGUGACGCAGUGACGCCGCGUGGGGGAUGAAGGUCUUCGGAUUGUAAACUCCUGUUAAGUGGGAAGAAAGGCUCGCCUUUAAUAGAGGCGAGAGAUGACGGUACCAUUAGAGAAAGCACCGGCUAACUUCGUGCCAGCAGCCGCGGUAAUACGAGGGGUGCUAGCGUUAUUCGGAAUCAUUGGGCGUAAAGGGUGUGUAGACGGCGCAUUAAGUCAACAGUUAAAUUCUCCGGCCUAACUGGAGGUCAGCGGUAGAAACUGGUGUGCUAGAGGGUGAGAGAGAGAAGUGGAAUUCUCGGAGUAGCGGUAAAAUGCGUAGAUCUCGAGAGGAACACCGAUGGCGAAGGCAGCUUCUUGGCUCACUCCUGACGUUGAGACACGAAAGCGUGGGGAGCAAACAGGAUUAGAUACCCUGGUAGUCCACGCCGUA
rnacentral:rRNA from 1 species